CGCGUGAGUGAGAAGGGUUUCGGCUCGUAAAGCUCUGUUGUUAGGGAAGAACGUGCGUGAGAGCAACUGUUCACGCCUUGACGGUAUCUAACCAGAAAGUCACGGCUAACUACGUGCCAGCAGCCGCGGUAAUAA
rnacentral:rRNA from 1 species